AGCAGGUUAGCGCAGAGGCAGCGUGCUGGGCUCAUAACUCAGAGGUCGGAGGUUCGAUCCCUUCACCUGCUA